rnacentral:lncRNA from 1 species
CAAAAUAAAAUAAAUCAAAAUUAAUAAUUCCAUAGUAUUUUUGUGGACAAGUCGUGAUCAAGUCUCUUACCAAGUAUUUGGUCAUUAACUAUGAAUAGCUUGAAUUCCCUAUUAAGGAAGAGGUAUGGCAAAUCUUGUCUAGAUAUCUGAUGUCUAAUUAUAGUUUGUUUGAGAAUUGAUACAACAUAUCACAACCACUGAUAUUGUGUUAGACAUGUUACAUUAGCUGUCCAUGUAUGUCUUUUUGGUUGUUUUAUUUGUAAAAUUCUCAUACAAUUCUUGACUUGAAGAUAAACCUAUCCUGGCAGUUAUUUAUUUGUUGUGAAUUGGGCUAGUCAAAUGAGUCUUCC